CCAACGGUUCUUUUAAGAACCAACACCAUAUUAGGGAUAUUUAUAU
rfam:Poecilia formosa, whole genome shotgun sequence.